AGUUAUCUUGUUUGCCCUUCCAAUCAACUGCAAUCCGCUGAUUAGGACUCCUCAUUAUUUGGUUUUGCGGAAAAGAAACUUGAUCCACAAUGAAUCCACAACAAAGAAUAUGAAAACCAUCUUGAUCCUACAUAACAUAAUCUGAUGCGGACACAUGGAUGACUCUGUAUCCCUCUGUCUUCAGUUCCUUCACCCUGGCUCGCAAGACCGUUUGUGACAUAUCUAAAAAUGAAGUAAAACAGGCAACUUUGUCUACAUGUGUGUUUCCAGAGCUCUGGUCCUCUACAUAAAACAAAGAUAUUUGUAUGCUACAUGCCAGCAUUUUGCUUAUACUCCACUCUUGUGAUGUCUAAACUUGUAGCCUAUAACACUCUGCUAAGACUGUAUCCAAAGGCUGUAUUCAGAGGGUACAGGUGCAGCGGUGGAUUUAUACUUUCCUGUUGCAGCGGUGGAUUCUGAGGGUCCUGAGUCAGCGGUGGAUU